GAUGAAGAACGCAGCGAAAUGCGAUACUUGGUGUGAAUUGCAGAAUCCCGUGAACCAUCGAGUCUUUGAACGCAAGUUGCGCCCGAAGCCAUUAGGCCGAGGGCACGCCUGCCUGGGCGUCACACGUCGUUGCCCCCCCCCAUCUACUCCUUCGGGAUUGCGGGGGGCGGAUGAUGGCCUCCCGUGCGCCUCGCCGCGCGGUUGGCAUAAAUGCCAAGUCCUCGGCGACGCACGCCACGACAAUCGGUGGUUGCGAAACCUCGGUUGCCCGUCGUGUGCGGUCGUCGCGCAUCGAGGGCUCGAAAAAAUUGCCGGGCUCCGGCUCGGCUUUCAACGCGACCCCAGGUCAGGCGGGGUUACCCGCUGAAUUUAAGCAUAUCAAUAACGGAGGA
rnacentral:misc_RNA from 1 species